AGUGAACGCUGGCGGUAGGCCUAACACAUACAAGUCGAACGGCAGCACAGUAAGAGCUUGCUCUUACGGGUGGCGAGUGGCGGACGGGUGAGGAAUACAUCGGAAUCUACUUUUUCGUGGGGGAUAACGUAGGGAAACUUACGCUAAUACCGCAUACGACCUACGGGUGAAAGCAGGGGAUCUUCGGACCUUGCGCGAUUGAAUGAGCCGAUGUCGGAUUAGCUAGUUGGCGGGGUAAAGGCCCACCAAGGCGACGAUCCGUAGCUGGUCUGAGAGGAUGAUCAGCCACAUUGGAACUGAGACACGGUCCAGACUCCUACGGGAGGCAGCAGUGGGGAAUAUUGGACAAUGGGCGCAAGCCUGAUCCAGCCAUACCGCGUGGGUGAAGAAGGCCUUCGGGUUGUAAAGCCCUUUUGUUGGGAAAGAAAAGCAGCAGGUUAAUACCCCGCUGUUCUGACGGUACCCAAAGAAUAAGCACCGGCUAACUUCGUG
rnacentral:rRNA from 1 species